GGUGGCUCAGUGGUAGAGCACUUGCCUUGCAUGCAUGAGGCCCUGGCUUCAAUUCCUCAGCACCA
rnacentral:tRNA from 1 species